UUUAAUAGUCGAACAGACUAGCUCACGCAGCUACUACACUAGGCAGCACCUUUAAUUCAACAUCGAGGUCACAAGAUCUUUUAUCGAUUUGGCCUCUUUAAAAGCAUUGUGCUGUUAUCCCUGAGGUAACUACUCUUUAACUUGGUUAAGAUCGCAGACCCGCUAUAGAAUUGACUUAUAAAUUAGAUAUGUUAACUUACCGCCCCAGUACGACACAACAAGUGUCAAAGACUCCGAUUGUUUGAGCCGAAGCCACUUCCCAGCCAGCUCUGCAGGGUCUUAUCUUCCCAUUGGGCGCUUUUGAAGUUUUAAUCAAACCCUUAAAUUAUAGUUUUACGAGCUUACAAGUCGUCUUUCAUGAGCCCCUUCAUUCUAGACCCCAAUUAAGAGCCAAGUUAUUACGCUACCUUUGCACAGUUAGGG
rnacentral:rRNA from 1 species